CACGGGGCUCGUAGUCCGGGCUGCGGCCCCGCCGGGGAGCGCGGAGGAAGGCGAAGGAGGGCAGCAGAGGUGAACACCGACGAGCACACAGAGUUCCAGAUGCCGAUCCUCAGAGAAUCCAUGUGUAACAGAAAGGAUGGAUAAUCUUUUGGCUCAGCUCCAACCUGGUGGAGCCUGCAUGUGGUUGUUUCAGGCUAAUGUACAAAAAGGGUCCUGCAUUUAUUCUGACAUUUUAUUUAAUAUAUGUAUUUGUGGCAAUGAUCCUAUUACCUUCUUUCUAAUUGGUGUGGCUGUAUGUAGCAGAUCAUGCCUAAAAAUCCUUUCUUUUGAAGUCAGACGUUAACCUGUUAGUGCUGGGAUUUUUUUAAACAAGGUUAAGCUCUGGUCACAGAAACAUACAGACUCAUUCCAUUUUGAGUUCAAUUACUUGCAUGGGUGUGCAGCAUUUAAGUACCAUGGUAGGUCUAGGUUCUGAGAAACAGCUGAAUGAUAUUACAUAAUCAAAUACGAUUCCAGGGGCUGCAGCCUGCCAGGUUAAAAAUUGCAUUUUAAAACCAGGUAAACCAAUGUAUUUUCUUGAUUAAAGGCAAACUCUAGUUGUAAGAUAUGCAUUAAGCUUAAGUAAGAUACACAUGGCUUUACAGUAUUCUUACACCUUAUCAUAGAAUGGUUUGUGUUGGAAGGGACCUUAAAGAUCAUCUGAUUCUUGGAACAUAGCACCAUGGGCAGGGAUGCCACCUGCUAGAUCAGGUUGCUCAGGACCCCAUUAAACCUAGCUUUAAACACUGCCAGGGAUGGGGCAUCCACAGGAUCUCUGGGCAACCUGUUGAAGUGUCUCACCACCCUCACGUGAAUGAUAAAUACAUCAAUCAGAAGUACAAGUGUUGUGAUAUGUUAUGGCCCAGUAGAGGAUGAAAUACUGAUGCUGUAGACAAA